rnacentral:rRNA from 3 species
UGUUUGAUGUUCUAACGUGGACCCGUGAUCCGGGUUGCGGACAGUGUCUGGUGGGUAGUUUGACUGGGGCGGUCUCCUCCUAAAGAGUAACGGAGGAGCACGAAGGUUGGCUAAUCCUGGUCGGACAUCAGGAGGUUAGUGCAAUGGCAUAAGCCAGCUUGACUGCGAGCGUGACGGCGCGAGCAGGUGCGAAAGCAGGUCAUAGUGAUCCGGUGGUUCUGAAUGGAAGGGCCAUCGCUCAACGGAUAAAAGGUACUCCGGGGAUAACAGGCUGAUACCGCCCAAGAGUUCAUAUCGACGGCGGUGUUUGGCACCUCGAUGUCGGCUCAUCACAUCCUGGGGCUGAAGUAGGUCCCAAGGGUAUGGCUGUUCGCCAUUUAAAGUGGUACGCGAGCUGGGUUUAGAACGUCGUGAGACAGUUCGGUCCCUAUCUGCCGUGGGCGCUGGAGAACUGAGGGGGGCUGCUCCUAGUACGAGAGGACCGGAGUGGACGCAUCACUGGUGUUCGGGUUGUCAUGCCAAUGGCACUGCCCGGUAGCUAAAUGCGGAAGAGAUAAGUGCUGAAAGCAUCUAAGCACGAAACUUGCCCCGAGAUGAGUUCUCCCUGAGACUUAGAGUCUCCUGAAGGAACGUUGAAGACGACGACGUUGAUAGGCCGGGUGUGUAAGCGCAGCGAUGCGUUGAGCUAACCGGUACUAAUGAACCGUGAGGCUUAACCUU